rnacentral:SRP_RNA from 2 species
GCACGCCUGUAGUCCCAGCUACUCGGGAGGCUGAGACAGGAGGAUCGCUUGAGUCCAGGAGUUCUGGGCUGUAGUGCGCUAUGCCGAUCGGGUGUCCGCACUAAGUUCGGCAUCAAUAUGGUGACCUCCCGGGAGCGGGGGACCACCAGGUUGCCUAAGGAGGGGUGAACCGGCCCAGGUCGGAAACGGAGCAGGUCAAAACUCCCGUGCUGAUCAGUAGUGGGAUCGCGCCUGUGAAUAGCCACUGCACUCCAGCCUGGGCAACAUAGCGAGACCCCGUCUCU